UAUAUACAUAUAGCUAGACACAUACACAUGCAUAUAUACAAUGUGUGUGUGUGUGCGCCUUAAAGUUUUAUCUUUACUCUUCACAUUUAGGUCUGUAUCCAUCUGGAGUUUUUUGCAUACGGUGUGAGAUCAGAUUAGAAGCUGCAAGUGUUGGUUGACGUUGCUGACUGGGAUCACACUGCAUCUAAAGAUUGUUUCGGGGAGAACUGACAUCUUUAUAAUAUUAAGUCCUCCAAUCCAGGAAGCCACAAGCCAUGUGAAGUCUUUUUUAUACCUAAUGCUAGCUCCUGAGAGCUAAUCUACUUUUGAUAUGUGAGUGCCAAGGCUACUCAAAUUUGGCACUACCUUUUCCCCAAGUAUUCCAAAUCCUACAAGUACAGUCUAUUUUCCUCUCAACUCCUAAGAUGGCAGCCCUAAAACAGAAUGCUACAUCAUAGUUCCAUGGUCCAGAAUUGUGCUUGAUCCAAGAACUCAGGAGGAGACCCAAAUGAUUUCUGGCUUUGAGGAUAUGAAAAAUAUCCUUCAGGUAAUUGAGAACAAACAUAAUCUUACACUCAAAAUCACAAACACACACAUAAAAGGCUUUCAAGUGAUGAAAUCCCCAGAUCAUAAUCUAGAAACAGUAUUUUAAAAAUAAUUCCUACUUGAGAAUUGAGACAGAGAGAGAAGUUAGCAUAGAAUGAGUACCUAUUAUUGAGGCUUCCUCCAGGACCUAGGGACCUUAACCAGCUUUGGAUUCCUGAUAUGGGAAUAAGCAAAGGAAUUUUCAGUGCAGUAAGAAAUGAUUAAUGGGCUUUAGGGACUGAUUGAUGAAGGGAGAAAGCAAAGCAGAAAAACAAACUCUGAAGUUAAUAAAUGGAAAGGAAAAAAAUACCAUCCUGAAACACUUGACCUAGGAAGAUAAGGGACUGUUUAUGGUAAUGUAAAGGAUUAUAAAGACUAAGAAUUUUAAGCUGAAAAAAAUAGGAAUAUUUUCACAUAUAUUUCUCCAUCUUCAAACUCAGAAAUUAUUCCCCAGGAGAAAUCGAGAAAACAAAUCUUUGAGAAAACUAGAAGAGAAAAGCACUAGAGAAGAGACUGUGGGAAAAAAGUAUCGUGACCAGUGGGAAUGGGCUAGAAAUGAUCUAAUACAUCUUUUUCAUUCUCUAGUUCCCUCUAUACAUUAGCGCAGAGGGAAUGAUAUUAUCAAGCAACGAGACUAACAAGAAGUGUUUUGUUCAAUUUUCAAGGCACUAUUAAAAAAUACAGCCUCUAAAUGGGAACUGGAUACCUGGUCUUAAAAAUAUACAGAGAAUGUCCUGCUCUUCUGCAGUGAGUUUAUGUUCCCGUCUGUUCCCUCUGCAAGAGUCAGCAGGCGGCCUGACGGCAUGGCAGGGGAGACAUGCCGGGUACCAUGAAAUCACGGGGUUGGAAUGUGGAGUUUGGGUAGUGGGAGGAUGGAGGUUCUGUGUUCAAAAGCACUAGAGUUAGAAAAGAAUGAAAACGAAAGGAGCUUGGGCUUCCCAUGGGUUUGGACAGGAGACAAACCUCAAAGAAAACAGCUUCUAGCCUAGCCCACAGGCAUUCAUUCAAGGGGAAGCCUGGAGCAUCAACCUAUGAUUCCAUCACAGUAUGCAGAGGAUUAAAAAAGAAGCACAUUAGAAAGUAGGUCUUCAUUUCAUUUCAGGCAUAUUUCCUUGGUAAAUGCCACUUCCAGCCUAUACAUUUAUUGACUCAUUUUUAUAACAGAACCAGCAGUACCAUAUCCCUGAGGAGCUUCAGCUCUGGGAUUUGAUAUAUACCAGAAGAGACAGUGGGUAUUCAAAUCAAAGGUAGAGCAUACCUAUCAUUUUGACAGACAUAGCUGAAACUAUUCCUGUUGUAAGGUACUGAGCACAUCCAAAAUGUGUAAUUUCCUUAAUUUUCUUACCGUACUCAAAAGCAAUUUAAAAAUCCCAAGUUAUUAAUUAUGGCAAAAGAAUUUUUGUGAUUAGGAGAGCUUCUGUCUUUAAUUUCAAGUGAAUAAGAUACAUCUAAAGAAGGCUGCCUACUAGCUUUGAAACACUUUCAGCUUCAGUACAGUGGUGAGAAAGACUUCAGCUAAAGAUUUCAAGACUCUUCUUACAAAGUCCUGCUUGUAUCCAGCUGUAACACCAAUUGUUCAUUGAUCACAUUUGUUUUAACUACGGUCAAAGGUAAACCACAAACUUGGCUCAACGGCCACACUAUGUCUUAUUGGUUACAUAAAUGGCAUUUUAUCACAGAUUACAAUAAAAAAGUAUUCAAUAACAUUACCCAGCUAA